GGGGACAAAGUGACAGGUGGUGCAUGGUUGUCGUCAGCUCGUGUCGUGAGAUGUUGGGUUAAGUCCCGCAACGAGCGCAACCCUUGAUUUUAGUUGCCAGCAUUUAGUUGGGCACUCUAAAGUGACUGCCGGUGCAAGCCGGAGGAAGGUGGGGAUGACGUCAAAUCAUCAUGCCCCUUAUGACCUGGGCUACACACGUGCUACAAUGGAUAGUACAAAGGGUCGCGAAGCCGCGAGGUGGAGCUAAUCCCAUAAAACUAUUCUCAGUUCGGAUUGUAGGCUGCAACUCGCCUACAUGAAGCCGGAAUCGCUAGUAAUCGUGGAUCAGCAUGCCACGGUGAAUACGUUCCCGGGCCUUGUACACACCGCCCGUCACACCACGAGAGUUUGUAACACCCGAAGUCGGUAGGGUAACCUUUAUGGAGCCAGCCGCCGAAGGUGGGACAGAUAAUUGGGGUGAAGUCGUAACAAGGUAGCCGUAUCGGAAGGUGCGGCUGGAUCACCUCCUUU
rnacentral:rRNA from 1 species